CGGGUGAGUAACACGCAUCCAACCUGCCGUCUACUCUUGGACAGCCUUCUGAAAGGAAGAUUAAUACAAGAUGGCAUCAUGAGUUCACAUGUUCACAUGAUUAAAGGUAUUCCGGUAGACGAUGGGGAUGCGUUCCAUUAGAUAGUAGGCGGGGUAACGGCCCACCUAGUCUUCGAUGGAUAGGGGUUCUGAGAGGAAGGUCCCCCACAUUGGAACUGAGACACGGUCCAA
rnacentral:rRNA from 1 species